rnacentral:rRNA from 1 species
UACUGACGCUAAAGCUCGAAGGUGCGGGUAUCGAACAGGAUUAGAUACCCUGGUAGUCCGCACGGUAAACGAUGGAUGCCCGCUGUUUGCGAUAUACUGUGAGCGGCCAAGAGAAAUCGUUAAGCAUCCCACCUGGGGAGUACGCCGGCAACGGUGAAACUCAAAGGAAUUGACGGGGGCCCGCACAAGCGGAGGAACAUGUGGUUUAAUUCGAUGAUACGCGAGGAACCUUACCCGGGCUUGAACUGCAGGAGAACGAUACAGAGAUGUUGAGGUCCUUCGGGACUCCUGUGGAGGUGCUGCAUGGUUGUCGUCAGCUCGUGCCGUGAGGUGUCGGCUUAAGUGCCAUAACGAGCGCAACCCUUUUCGUCAGUUGCCAUCAGGUGAAGCUGGGCACUCUGGCGAUACUGCCACCGUAAGGUGUGAGGAAGGUGGGGAUGACGUCAAAUCAGCACGGCCCUUACGUCCGGGGCUACACACGUGUUACAAUGGGGAGUACAGAGAGUCAACCGCCGGCAACGUCGGUUUAAUCAAGAAAGCUCUCCUCAGUUCGGAUUGGGGUCUGCAACCCGACCCCAUGAAGCUGGAUUCGCUAGUAAU